CAUACUCCCCGAACGAAAUUAAAGUAUUUCGAAAGUUUGAAACUUCUUUUCACGCCGGUCUACAAGCACGUGGGUAGACAAUGGACAACACAUGACCCUGUGAUCAAAUCACUCUAUUUUGAUCCCAUCAUCAUGGUCUUCAGCACACCAGUUACACAGAUGGACAGCUAUUUGGAUCCAGCUAAAACACAGGGCUCUCACACCCCAUUUUGGGACUGGGGCCCGGGGCCCUUAGAAUUGGGAAAAAUAAUGGCGUUUUCCUUAUAAUUGGGAAAAAAGAUACUAUUUUGCACUGGGAAUGGGGCCGACUAUUGGCCCCAAAUCUGGCAGAUCGAGAGCCCUGAAACAAGUUCAGUCUUCAGUAUGAUUUGCAUAGCAGACAGUUAAAGUGUUAAAAUGCAGAUUCAGAGAGGUCAUAAGGUCACCACUUUCAAAGCAGCAAUGGGAUUGGACGUUCUGUGAACAGAUGACCCAUGAUAGUGGACCCACCAUUGAUGUUGACUUGGAGGAUGAUGGAUGACGACCUCUUUUAACACGACAAUGAAAAUACUAUAGAGGCAAACUUUGAUGUGGCAUCCUUCUUUAACAGUGACGAUGAUGAGGAAUUUGAAGGAUUUUUGUUAAGUGAUCUGUGACUGUGUUAAGCGACUUCAGUACUAAAAACUGCUUAUAAUUACUUGGUGCUGUAUGGAUUUAUCGGUCUACUGUUCCAUUUGUGCAAGUCGUAAGUACUAUUGAACCUGUUCUGAUAAAAUUUAAAACUUUUUGUUACUUAGCUUUAUAUAAAUAAUAAUGAAACUUAUUUGCAUUAAAACAUUCAAAAUUUG